rnacentral:rRNA from 1 species
UACGUAGGGGGCAAGCGUUGUCCGGAUUUAUUGGGCGUAAAGAGCGUGUAGGCGGCUAUGCAGGUCCGCUGUGAAAACUCGAGGCUCAACCUCGAGACGUCGGUGGAAACCGCAUGGCUAGAGUCCGGAAGAGGAGAGUGGAAUUCCCGGUGUAGCGGUGAAAUGCGCAGAUAUCAGGAGGAACACCGGUGGUGUAAACGGCUUUCUGGACCAUAACUGACGCUGAGGCACGAAAGCGUGGGUAGCAAACAGG